rnacentral:rRNA from 1 species
CCUAGGGGGUGCAGCAGUGGGGAAUAUUGGACAAUGGGCGAAAGCCUGAUCCAGCCAUGCCGCGUGUGUGAAGAAGGCCUUCGGGUUGUAAAGCACUUUCAGUGGGGAAGAAAGCCUUGGGGCUAAUACCCUCGAGGAAGGACAUCACCCACAGAAGAAGCACCGGCUAACUCCGUGCCAGCAGCCGCGGUAAUACGGAGGGUGCGAGCGUUAAUCGGAAUUACUGGGCGUAAAGCGCGCGUAGGCGGUCUGAUAAGCCGGUUGUGAAAGCCCCGGGCUCAACCUGGGAACGGCAUCCGGAACUGUCAGGCUAGAGUGCAGGAGAGGAAGGUAGAAUUCCCGGUGUAGCGGUGAAAUGCGUAGAGAUCGGGAGGAAUACCAGUGGCGAAGGCGGCCUUCUGGACUGACACUGACGCUGAGGUGCGAAAGCGUGGGUAGCAAACAGGAUUAGAUACCCGGGUAGUC